CUGGCUCCCAUCUCCACACCUGCAUCGUCCCUUGUUGUUCUAAGCAGAGAGACCUCACCUGGAGCUUCACAUCUAUGGACACAAAAGUGUGCUGGGGAAGGCUCAAACACCAGGCUGGGUUGCCUGGGGUUGCAGGCCCCGCCAAAGCAAACAAGGAGCUCUGAGGUGGGUCUGAGGCAAGCUGGUCAUCAGCGAGGAGUGGUGAAACAGCCAAGUCUGAAGGAGUGUGGCCUGGUUGGCAAACAGGGAGUACAGUGUUGACUGUCCCUCAGGAAGAGAAAUGAGGAAUAUUAACCCGUAUCGAGCGAAAAGAGGCUGUAGGAAAGCCAGAAAAAGAACAAGCAUCUCCAGAGUUAACAGACUAAUGCCUUAACCACG
rnacentral:lncRNA from 1 species